rnacentral:rRNA from 1 species
AACGAACGCUGGCGGCAUGCCUAACACAUGCAAGUCGAACGAGACCUUCGGGUCUAGUGGCGCACGGGUGCGUAACGCGUGGGAACCUGCCCUUAGGUUCGGAAUAACUCCCCGAAAGGGGUGCUAAUACCGGAUAAUGUCUUCGGACCAAAGAUUUAUCGCCUUUGGAUGGGCCCGCGUUGGAUUAGCUAGUUGGUAGGGUAAAAGCCUACCAAGGCGACGAUCCAUAGCUGGUCUGAGAGGAUGAUCAGCCACACUGGGACUGAGACACGGCCCAGACUCACACGGGAGGCAGCAGUGGGGAAUAUUGGACAAUGGGCGAAAGCCUGAUCCAGCAAUGCCGCGUGAGUGAUGAAGGCCUUAGGGUUGUAAAGCUCUUUUACCCGGGAUGAUAAUGACAGUACCGGGAGAAUAAGCGCCGGCUAACUCCGUG